UGGCUGUCAAGACAUACCCAGCUUUUGGAUAGCCUGCAUAGGGAGUUCCUAUUCUGCUUCGUGGGUGGAUGGUCCAAAUUACACUCUAGCCUCAGGAAGCAGAGAAGCGGUGAAGCGGAGCAACAAGCAAGAUCAUUGUAGGCACCAAGGAUCUUUUGAUGAAGGGGUAAAAUAUAGUUUCAUUCAUGGUCAGAUGAAUAGAAGUGGGCAGCUGGAGUUCAAUAUUGAGCACACUGAUCGCAUUCCCCCUACCUUGGUUAACAACAAAGGCAUCCAUGUAGUGGAGAGUGGCACAGGAGUGAUCUCACCAGAUGUUCUUCAUCUUACCGGCCUGGACAGUCCAUUAAAGAACCUGACUUAUAUAUAGUGACUCAGCACCCACAGUAUGGCCACCUAUACAUGAAAGAGACUGUUUUGUACUGGAGCCAGUUUAUACAGGUGGAUGUUAAUGACAUGGAAGUAUACUACAGACACGGCAGAUGUGCUGGGCAAAUAGAUAAGUGUUCAUUUAUAGCUACAGAAAAGUCACUUGUGGCUUUCUGGUCAAUGGGCAAAUGAGAGAAAAGCCAGUGGAAUUUGUAAUACAGAGAGAACAGCAACACAAAAUAUUUCCAAAUCUCCUUGUGAAAGAGAGUCUGACCAUCAUACAGAGCCUGCAGGAUGGCAGGGUUAGAGCUCCAAUCGCAUCUUGCCAUCUGAAAGCUGCAGGUAUCUACAGCAAAGAAGAUGAUCUCAUUUUCAGUCUGUCACUUUCCUUUCUUUGGCUAUCUGGAAAAUUCAAAAACAGGCAGCUACGUACGCAGUACUUUUACCCAGAAUGA
rnacentral:lncRNA from 1 species